rnacentral:rRNA from 1 species
AUUGAACGCUGGCGGCAUGCUUUACACAUGCAAGUCGAACGGUAACAGGCCGCAAGGUGCUGACGAGUGGCGAACGGGUGAGUAAUGCAUCGGAACGUGCCCAGUCGUGGGGGAUAACGCAGCGAAAGCUGCGCUAAUACCGCACACGAUCUAUGGAUGAAAGCGGGGGACCGUAAGGCCUCGCGCGAUUGGAGCGGCCGAUGUCAGAUUAGGUAGUUGGUGGGGUAAAGGCUCACCAAGCCGACGAUCUGUAGCUGGUCUGAGAGGACGACCAGCCACACUGGGACUGAGACACGGCCCAGACUCCCACGGGAGGCAGCAGUGGGGAAUUUUGGACAAUGGGCGCAAGCCUGAUCCAGCAAUGCCGCGUGCAGGAAGAAGGCCUUCGGGUUGUAAACUGCUUUUGUACGGAACGAAAAGGCUCUGGUUAAUACCUGGGGCUCAUGACGGUACCGUAAGAAUAAGCACCGGCUAACUACGUGCCAGCCGCCGCAGUAAGAC